CUAAGGAAGAAUGUUCAGAGAGAUGCAAAGUUUCUGGCUUUGAAGCUGGAGGAGGCAGGGAGUGCAAGUGGCCUCUAGAAGAUGAAAAAGGAUAGAUUCCCAGAAAUGGAAUGAACAUUUUCAGGCACUUACAACAUAAGGCCAGAUUGCUGUCCAAAAUGGUUGUAACGAUGUAUAUUUAAACUGAAUCAGCAUUUGAUACAACUUCAGCAGGGGAUGAGAGCCUGGAAACUACUUUCCUCAGAAUCAUCGUUAGAGUUCAUCAAUGGAGGUAUGAAAUUUGGAAGGCAGAAGAAAUGCAGAAACCACCACUGCACCUGUGACAGAAGUAGGAAGAUCUUUAAUUGAAGAUUCAUUCUACCCUCAGAAAACUAACAGAAGAUAUUGAAAACUGCCAUAUAUAUUGGAAUCUUUAAAGGAAACAGCAGUGAUUAAGUUGGGGGAACACAUCAAAAACCCCCAUGCCUGCUCAGGCACAAACACUGCAACAGAACUUGGAUCCCAAGCAAGUGGUGGAUGCCCUGCAAUAGCGAUCAGCAAUUCUGUUUGAUUUAGGAAGUGCUAAUCAAUAACGAGUCCAACUUGGAAAACUGCACUGGCUUAAUCAUUUUGCAUCUGGUAUCCAGGACUGACACACCCCAGCUGGAAGGGAGGAAAAGAGGCAUAAGGAGAGAGAGGGAAGUAGAAGAGGGAUGUGUGGUGGGGGGACACAAAAAAACAAGUUCAUGAAAACCGAGUAAACCUUUCUGGAGUUAAAAAUCGUUUCAACUUUCAAAGACGAAAUCUCACCCCCAAGUGAAAGACAUGACAUAAAUGCAAAGGCAAGUGAAGAUAAACAAAAGGCCCCGCUCAGAUGUUCCCGAGGUGAUCCGUCAUUGUCAAGGAAUUCUUUACACAUCAUAAUGAUUCCGAGCACCCUGCCAGCUUGUCUCACGUACUAUUUCUAUAUCUUACAGGAUUUUUUUUCUUUCCUCCAGUAAACAGCACUUUACAACACAAGGUUUGACUGUAAUUUUCAUCAAACUGCAACUUGUGCAGGUUUGUGAGAGAUGUCUUAUUACUUAAAUCCAGCUGUACGGCUCUUUUACCUUCAAGGACUGUUCCCUUGAUACACCCUGUCAGCUGAGGGUGGCAGGAUAACAAUUAGCCUGCAAAUCCAUCCAUUUAAAUUAAAAACAAAAUGCAACGGGAUUGCAGGCAGAAUGUGUUCAAAUUCCCUUCCUAUGGAUUCAAGGUGGGCCCAGCCCUCCUCCUGGACCAAGGAUACCUGGAGACUGGACUCUGGGGGUUGGUGACAGAGGGGAGAAGGCAAGACACAGUCCCGGCCCAUUGGCUUCAGCUGUGAACCAUCGUUGUGGAGGCAAAUCUGCAGCUGAAAACUAGGCUGGCAGGCCAGCUGGUUGCCCAUCUGAAGAAGCUAAGCACUAGCAGAGGUGCAGGUCCAGGGUAAGGCAAAUGGGUGGAAAAUUGAGAGCAGGACACCCAGCAAGACGUUCUGAACAAAAGGCCAGAGGUAGAGCCUCCCAGGACUGCAGGCUCAUAUCUUCAGAUGCCUCUGACAUCACUGAGAGGAGAGGAGUAGAAGGGGGGAAGGAAGAGGUUUUAGGGGUCCUCAGGAAGCCAGGAUUCUGAUGAAGGAAAAAUAUUGAACUGGGUAAGUUUUCUUGGCUACUUCAACACUAAUAUUUUGGGGCAAGCUAAUUUCUCUUUGUGAAAAUAAAAAUGAACCCAAU
rnacentral:lncRNA from 10 species